rnacentral:lncRNA from 1 species
CCUGGUCGCGCUGUGCCGGGUGUGACACUACGGAGAGCAGAUUACAUUAUCAAAAGCACCAAGUUGAAACAUUUGCAAGGUGUGCAUCAUUUCACAAUUAUUGGCAAUGGUUCAAUGGUUUCAUCUGCUUUGAACGGUUUCUUCUCUAUCAUUAAGAGGUGAGGAAACUGAGCACUAAGACACUAAAUAACUUGCCCAGGGUCAUACGACAGACAUGAGAGGUUUAUAUCAGGCAGUCUCCACCCCUGUUCCGAAGUCAAGAGGCUGACUCGGGUUGCUACUUCUUGACAGACCGGACCCCAGAUCGCCGAAGACCAUUUGGACACACUUCUAUCAAAUCCUGGCGGUCUCCUUCUAACAGGUAUGCAGUUUUCUCUGUAGACCCUUAAUACACAGAUAAGACUUGAAGGAAUUUAUCUGCAUUCCCUGAUUGGUGUGGCAAUGGAAGUCCCGCCCUGCAUCCCGACACUGAGCACAGCUGCAGCUUUCGCUUGUUCAUUCAUUCAGUAGAUAUUAUUUUCAUGCCUAC